rnacentral:tRNA from 1 species
GGUUCAUUAGAAUAAUGGUAGUUCAUCCCCCUUCAGGACAGACAAAUUCAACUUGGCUGUGCUGAAGGGGAAGGUCGGAGUUCGAUUCUCCGAUGGACCA